UACGUAGGUCCCGAGCGUUGUCCGGAUUUAUUGGGCGUAAAGCGAGCGCAGGUGGUUUAUUAAGUCUGGUGUAAAAGGCAGUGGCUCAACCAUUGUAUGCAUUGGAAACUGGUAGACUUGAGUGGAGGAGAGGAGAGUGGAAUUCCAUGUGUAGCGGUGAAAUGCGUAGAUAUAUGGAGGAACACCGGUGGCGAAAGCGGCUCUCUGGCCUGUAACUGACACUGAGGCUCGAAAGCGUGGGGAGCAAACAGG
rnacentral:rRNA from 1 species